AUGGAGUCCCGCUCUGUCAGCCAGGCUGGAGUUCAGUUCAGUGGCACGAUCAUAGCUCACUGCUUCCCUGAACUCCUGGGGUUCAAUCGAUCCUCCUGCUUUAGCCACCCAAGUAGCUGGGACAACAGUAGAGACAGGAUUUCACCACCUUGGCCAAGCUUGUCUUGAUCUCCUGACCUCGUGAUCCACCUGCCUGGGCCUCCCAAAA
rnacentral:lncRNA from 13 species